UACGGGGGGGCAAGCGUUGUUCGGAAUUACUGGGCGUAAAGGGCUCGUAGGUGGCCAACUAAGUCAGACGUGAAAUCCCCAGGCUUAACCUGGGAACUGCGUCUGAUACUGGAUGGCUUGAAUUCGGGAGAGGGAUGCAGAAUUCCAGGUGUAGCGGUGAAAUGCGUAGAUAUCAGGAGGAACACCGGUGGCGAAGGCGGGUCUCUGGGCCGAUACUGACGCUGAGGAGCGAAAGCGUGGGGAGCGAACAGG
rnacentral:rRNA from 1 species